rfam:Clostridium pasteurianum DSM 525 = ATCC 6013, complete genome.
UAUGUCAAGAAGAAACAUGCCGUUUCUCACCUUACAGCAUUGCUAGUUAGGUUUAUUUUAAUCUUUGAUUAUUAUUGAGGACGGCAUUUGUCGUCCUUUUUAUUUUGU